rnacentral:rRNA from 1 species
UGGGUGACGAGUGGCGGACGGGUGAGUAAUGUCUGGGAAACUGCCCGAUGGAGGGGGAUAACUACUGGAAACGGUAGCUAAUACCGCAUAACGUCGCAAGACCAAAGAGGGGGACCUUCGGGCCUUUUGCAAUCGGAUGUGCCCAGAUGGGAUUAGCUAGUAGGUGGGGUAACGGCUCACCUAGGCGACGAUCCCAUUCUGGUCCGAGAGGAUGACCAGCCACACUGGAACUGAGACACGGUCCAGACUCCUACGGGAGGCAGCAGUGGGGAAUAUUUCUCAAUGGGCGCAAGCCUGAUGCAGCCAUGCCGCGUGUAUGAAGAAGGCCUUCGGGUUGUAAAGUACUUUCAGCGAGGAGGAAGGGGAUGUGAUUAAUAACCGCAUUCCUCCAGUUUACUCGCAGAAGAAGCACCGGCUAACUCCGUGCCAGCAGCCGCUGGCAUACGGAGG